ACGCUGGCGGCGUGCUUAACACAUGCAAGUCGAACGAUGAAGCCGCUUCGGUGGUGGAUUAGUGGCGAACGGGUGAGUAACACGUGGGCAAUCUGCCCUUCACUCUGGGACAAGCCCUGGAAACGGGGUCUAAUACCGGAUAAUACUCCUGCCUGCAUGGGUGGGGGUUGAAAGCUCCGGCGGUGAAGGAUGAGCCCGCGGCCUAUCAGCUUGUUGGUCAGGUAAUGGCCUACCAAGGCGACGACGGGUAGCCGGCCUGAGAGGGCGACCGGCCACACUGGGACUGAGACACGGCCCAGACUCCUACGGGAGGCAGCAGUGGGGAAUAUUGCACAAUGGGCGAAAGCCUGAUGCAGCGACGCCGCGUGAGGGAUGACGGCCUUCGGGUUGUAAACCUCUUUCAGCAGGGAAGAAGCGCAAGUGACGGUACCUGCAGAAGAAGCGCCGGCUAACUACGUGCCAGCAGCCGCGGUAAUACGUAGGGCGCAAGCGUUGUCCGGAAUUAUUGGGCGUAAAGAGCUCGUAGGCGGCUUGUCACGUCGGAUGUGAAAGCCCGGGGCUUAACCCCGGGUCUGCAUUCGAUACGGGCUAGCUAGAGUGUGGUAGGGGAGAUCGGAAUU
rnacentral:rRNA from 1 species